GACUCCAAACAAAAUAAGCAUAUCCAUGCAAAUCCUCAAUCUUUAGAUAUAUGCACUUCAUUUCAAGAAUCUGCACUCCUUUUGAAUUGCAACAUGCACAUGACCUAUUGCAGUAAUACCUAUGAAACUAGUAAGGAAUGGAACAAAGUAUAAUCAAACCCAAGCCACAUAUUAUGACAGACGUAUAUAAUUGUUGUCUUUAUAUAAAGUCAUUAAAAUUAGUGUAGUAAGAAUUUUACCUCAUUUUUCUCGGACUAUCAAUAAGCCGAAGUCAGGAAGUAGGAAAACGAAAGAUCAUAUCCACCAAUACUAUCGCACAAGCUACAACUAAAAUCAAAGAAUUAAGAACCACCACAAAAAAAAAAUCAAAAUAAUAAUAAAAUAACAAAAGAUUAAGGAAAGUUAAGAGAACAAGAAUGUUUUAGAAGAAUACACAACUGUCACCAUGCUUAAAAUUAAAGCUUCAUCACAAAGAAGUAUUCAAAAUCGAUCAUCUAUAGAUGUAUUUCCAACUUCUCGUGAGGUGAAAAAUUAUGAAAGGAAUGAAAGAAAAUCAAAUUAAAAAUUAUCAAAUAAACUGAACGCAACGAUUCACAUCUAUAAAAGAACUAAUAUCAGAAAAUCAUGAAUAGGAAGAAAGAAAAUUCGAAUGAAAGCAAUUAUCGUGUAAAAAUUGUGACAAAAAGAUUCAUGAAGUGAUAGGUGGUUUACUACGCAGAUGCUCUAAGAUGAGAAAAUAAGGUUGGUCGAUAGGAUAGGUAAGAUAGAUCUACAAGGCAGUUUAGUUUAGGAGAUGUGUAUAUUUACAUAGGCUAAAAGUAUAAAUGCCCUUGAUGUGCAUUUUAUCAUCAAUAAGUGCUCAUGACAAACUUGAAAUCUUCAUUCACCUUUCUAUAUAACACAAAUUAAAUUAAAUGUGGAAUUCAUCUAAUUCCGUUUUUCUUGAUAUAUACUCCCUCCGUUUCACAAAGAAUGACCUUCUUUCCUUUUUAGUCAGUUUCAAAAAAAUGACCUCUUUCCUUUUUUGGUAACAUUUUACUUUUUGCUUUCCACGUGGCAUGUUUAAGACCACAAGAUUAAGGGCAAUUUUGUACAUUUGACAUAACUUUAAUUUAGGACCACAAGAUUCAAAAGUCUUCUUUAAUUUCUUAAACUUUGUGCCAAGUCAAACCAGAUCAAUCUUUUUGAAACGGAGGGAGUAUAUAUAUAUAUAUAUAUAUGUGUGUGUGUGUGUUAAAAAGGAACCCCUGAAGGUUAACACUAAAGUGAGCAUAGAAGGACGUGAAAGUUAAUACUAAAGGAACAUAGGAAGCUUUGAAAGUGAACAUAUAAAAAAUAAUCUUAAUAUGCAGUAACUUUGUACAUCUAUCCAUAGAUCGCAUUAGCUAAUAUUUGCAUGACAUGUUCAAGAAUUAUGUAACAUUUUCCACUAUGUAACUUAUCAACAAAAAAAAAAAUAGUUCAAGAAUAUGAUCACAUCUAUCAUAUAGACACAAAACUGGAAAGAGAUCGACAAAAGAAUGAAGCAUGAUUUUUCUGCAGCUUAUGGAGAGAAUAUCAAACUAUCAAAAUUUUGUGGGAAAACAAUAAGAAUAUCAUGUAUAGGUGUUUCAAUCUUAAAUCUUGGAAUCUUUUCCAUGUAAGACUGUUUUGAUUGUUGUUAGGUCUAUUCCAUCCCCGUAAACAUUAGUGUAGAACAUAAGCAACACCGAAAACUUUCCACACUUAUGAUCGGACCUUAGCACCUAUGGACAAUUAGGAAUCACCUAGUAUGGACCCAUUAUACAUGUAUUAGAUCAUGCAUAAGUAAUACCAUGUUUGGUAGUUGUUUAGGAUUAUGUAUAAAAUUAAUACAAUGUUUGGUUUGCAAUUUAGAAACUUGCAUAACUAAUAAAUGUACAAGUUAUGAGGUAAUCUAUGUAUAAUUCUAUGCAGGAUAGAAGAUGGAACAACUAAUACAUGAAUAGCUAAACAUUGCAUAACUAAUCUCUGCAUAAAAUAAUACAUAAAUUUCCUCAUAACUAAUCCAUGUAUUACUAAUACUUGUAUAACACUAGCUAGCUACCAAACAACCCCUAAAGGUGUCGUGUGUACUAGAUAACCUUAACUAUAAUAUUACAUGGACUAGAGAGUUUGAAACUAGAUUCUGAUAUUAAUGUAAGUUUGUUUCGAUAAUUGUAUACAUUCAAAAUCUCAAAUACUUAUGACGAAAAUCUUCAAAGGAAGAAUAAAAUUUCACUUUUCCUCCCAUGAUAGGGUAACCUGUAGACGUACAAGGAUUCAAUUUGAAACAUACUUAGCCUCGAAAUAAGAAUAAAAAUUAACAUAUGUAAUAAUAAAAUCACAUCUUUCUGUAAAGAUAGAAAUACAUUAUAUGUUUCAUAUUGUAAGAUUCUCAUAGGCACCUGAUGUGUACCGUGCCCUUUUUCUUAUUUUUUUGAUAACCGAGAAAUCCGCUUGUGACCCACCGCCCUUUGGACCAAUCACAGUCUUCUAAACUUGGUGGAUAAUGGGCCCGCUCCUCUACCCUUCUCUACUUAAAUGCCGGGCUUCGCUUUGCAUGGUGUGGGGCUUGAACCUAUGACCUAAGUCACAAAUCCUCAACCUUUUACCACUCGAGCUAGGCCUUGGGGGAAAUGUACCGUUCCCUUUUGAUUAGCCUACUUACUCUUACACUACAGUCAUGUUGAACAAUUCAGAACCUAACUAUGAAUUUAACAACUUAGUCAUCGUAUAUUAGCACGAUUCUUUUUGUUGUACAUACUAGUUGAACUUUUUCUUUCAUUAACACAGAAACAUUAUAGUGUUAACAAUCUAUAACCAAACAUAAUUUGAAAGAAAGAGAAAUAUCAUUUCCCUGGACAUUGGGGAUCAUAAGUGCACAUGAUAAAAAACAAUGUGCAUUUUUGGCAUAAGACACUUAGUCAUGCUUCAUGUUAUGUUUUCUCUUUCAUUGCUACACAUGUUAAAAUCAAUUCAAAUGCCAACAACCACUUUUAUCUAAUAGCACAAAAGCUGGCCAAUACUAUAGCCAAACUCUCAUGGAUAAGUUUUUUCUGAGUACAAACGUGUAGCAUCAACAUCAAAAAAUUCGAUCUCACCAAACAUGCAUUCUCAAAUGACACAAACUCAAGCAGCAACGAUAACAGAGGUAAGUAUAAGAUAUCAACCUACUGCAAGAACAGUGAAGAAUCCCGUAAUCCAACUUCUAGAUGCAUUUUCAGACUCAGUCCUUUGUUAUGACGCUAGAAAAGGCACAAUUCCUCUCAACAAAAGUGUGCAGACACUACUCAUCCCCUGUAAAUAGGACAAGUCAGACAUAUUUGUUUUCUCCUCAUCUUUAGUAUUUCCUCUUAAUAUGACAUACUUGUUUGAAAUUGCAUUAAAGUAGAAUAUCGACACACAUGGUAAUUUAUAAUACCACUGACACAUAAGCCAGAUACUUCCCAAUAGCAUGCAGAAGAAUGUGUUGUGUCUACUAAGCAAAGGCAGGUGAGUUUCCCCUUCAUUGUAGCCUCAUUUAUACUAAGUCUAAAGUCCGCCUAAAAAAGACAACAACUAAAUGAAAUUUACGUCUUAUAUAACACUCAAUAGCUCUUCAAUGAUUUUGGUCAACUAAUAGCUAUAACAUUUAGUUUUCCAACACACAGACACGUGUGUUCACAAGUGUGUACACGCACGUAGAGAUAGAGACUUCACUUCAAUAGAUUAAUAUCAAAGUCGAGAAAUGAACAUUGUAGAAAAAAUGAGAAACAACGCAAAUCUUUGAGUUGUUCAUUUGCGAAAUAGCAACAGAAAAAAAUCAUCUUACUUAUCGUGCGACAUAUGUACUCAUGGUCUCUGGAGAGUUCUAAGAUAGAUUUUCGAGGUAUUUUAAUUUCAUCUUUAUACUGGGAAGUGAACCAGCAAUCUAAGUUGCUCGGACUCAAGUGCGGGUGUCCAAUUUGGAUGCGGAUCUAGAGGUCGGAGCCUUCAUGAUCUAAUUUUUAAGAUUUGGAGAUAUGGAUCCAUGUAUGGGCAUAGGUGCGGAGAUUCGCCUAAAAAAUAAUAAAAAUAUCUUAAAAUAGAGUUAUUAAACCUAAAUUAUCAGAUAUUAUGUGGAGAACUUGAGGAGAAUCCUAGAAGGAGAUUAAAGGAAAAGGAGUGACAUGGAUAUUUCUAUAUAAAAGGUAUUUCAUUUUCUUCAAUUUCACCAUAGCUUUUGUAUUGACUAGGGGUGUACAAAACCGAACCGAGAACCGAACCAAACCGCAAAUCGAAUCAACCCGGAAAAAAAACCCGACUAGUGGUUUGGUUUGACUUGGUUUGGUUUUGAAAAAUAAAACCCGACUAUAUUUGGGUUGGUUUGGUUUUAACUAAAAAAAACCAACCCGAGACCAAACCAACCCGAAUUUAUAUAUAUAAUUUUAAAAUUUUAUUUUAUACAUAAAAAUAUUUACUUUGAUAUAAUUUUUAAAUAUUUCUUAUACUUUUCCAUAGUUUUUAAUAUUUAAUAUAUUAUUUCAAGUUUGAAACUUAGAAUUAUGAAUGGGCCAAUAAAGAUUAUAGUCCACAUAUGUUGGUAAUUAUAAUAAAGCUUAAAUCAAAAUCAAAUUAAUACUAAUGCAAAAAGAAAAUCAAUUCAACACUAAGAAUGACAAUAAUAUUGAAUAUUUGCUCUUUAGUUUUAGGGAUAAGGGUCUGAAAAAUACUCCAACUUUGGUCGGAUUUGUUGUUGCGAUACUAAACUUUCAUAAGGACCUAUUACCUCCCUAGACUAUUUAAUACCGUAUCCAAUAAAGAUUAUAGUCCACAGAUGUUGGUAAUUAUAAUAAAGCUUAAAUCUAAAUCAAAUUAAUACUAAUGCAAAAAGAAAAUCAAUUCAACACUAAGAAUGACAAUAAUAUUGAAUAUUUGUUCUUUAGUUUUACAUUGGUUUAGACAAUUAAAAUACAUAAUCUAAUUUUAAUUUCCUUUAAACUUAAUUUUAGCAUGAUUUAGUACUUUUAAAUUAUGAUCAUUUUCAUUAUGACUUGUUAAUUUGCAAUAUUUGUUUUACGCGAUUUCAUUAUUAUUAUUUUUGUUGGAUAUUUUAGUGUCAUUAAUCAUAUUAUAUUGUGUUAUAUUUUUAAGAAACAUCUUAAAUAGUUGUAUUUUGGUAGGACUAAGGAAAUAUUUGAAGUACAAGUUAAUUAUAUGCUGUGUAUGAAUACUUUACCGGAAAAACCCGAAACAACCCGAAAAACCGAAAAACCCGAGGUUGAAAAACCCGAGUUUUAUUGGUUUGGUUUGGUUUAUAAAUUUAAAAAUCCGACCUAAAUGGUUUGGUUUGAUAUUUGAAAAACCCGAACCAACCCGGCCAUGUACACCCCUAGUAUUGACUAUAGAAAUCAUUAAAACUGUCCAAACUUUUCCCAUCGGUUUUGGUCAAAGUACCCAAAAUCAAUUGACCAAAUCGGACACAGAUCCCACACCCACACCCAUGUUGUGUCGACACGGGUGUGGCACCAAAAGUGAAGAGUCUGAGCAACUUAGCCAGCAAUUGCAAAAGGCAUUUCAGGCAAUAAAAGAAUUGAAAUAAAGCGUGAAUAGCCUCAAGGGUUGAGAAACAAUGAAGUUCCAUUUUCCAAAUAAUAUGUUGUAUUAACUUGUUAGUGGUUUAAUAACUCUAUUUAAAAAAGAUGUGUUGUAUGUAAAGCUGAGAGAUAAUUGAUCACAGUUAGGCAAAAGAGUCCAGUCAUAAUGUUCAAUAGUGAUAUCGCAAAGCAUUAAAUUUAAAAGGUAACUUGAGUGUGUGUAUAUAUAUAUAUAUAAAAGAAUAAUUUAGAGUGCGAGCUUAUGAAGUGAUUCAUACAACUUUGGCAGGUUUGUUGCUCUGUAUUGAUAUGGUAAUUAUUUGAGAAAAGGUUGAAUAAGAUACUGAUGAUAUGAGGCUACGGAACUACCUUUGGAGCAAUUACGUGUCACCAUAUCCCCAAAACUUAAGUAAUUUGUUGCCAACAGAUUCUUCGAAAGCACAGCCCAAAAAAAAGAAUGCUUAGCUUGCACGCCAUACACUAUUUGAAGCCUAACAUCAUUUUCCAUCAGACGAAUUCUCAGCUCUUCCUUUUGCUUCAGUUCAUUAACAGAGCUCCAUGCUUCUCUGUCAGACACUUCUUCACAUCACAAUACAUACCCACCUAGAGGCUGCCAAUUAAUAUCACAUAGAUGAAGUCCAUAAAAAGAGUAAACAUCUCUAGUAUUUUGUAAUGCAGAGACUCAAAAUUGCAAAAGGAGAAAAGAGUGAGC
rnacentral:lncRNA from 1 species